rnacentral:rRNA from 1 species
ACUCGAGUGGCGAACGGGUGAGUAACACGUGGGUGAUCUGCCCUGCACUUCGGGAUAAGCCUGGGAAACUGGGUCUAAUACCGGAUAGGAACCGUCUUUAGUGUGGUGGUUGGAAAGUUUUUCGGUGCAAGAUGAGCUCGCGGCCUAUCAGCUUGUUGGUGGGGUAAUGGCCUACCAAGGCGUCGACGGGUAGCCGGCCUGAGAGGGUGUACGGCCACAUUGGGACUGAGAUACGGCCCAG